rnacentral:SRP_RNA from 1 species
CCGCACUAGCCGGGGAGCCAGCGGUGCCCUGUCGCCUGCAACCCGCUACAGCAGGGGUGAAUCCCGACCCCAGGGACGCUGAUGUGCCGCCAGCCCCGGAUAAGCAGCGAUGAGGAAUCGGUCUUUGCGCAACGAGGCCCCGUGAACCAUGUCAGGCGGGGAACCGAGCAGCAUUAAGCGGGAUACCGCGUGUGCCGUGAAGGCGCCGUUUCCGAGCCGGCUGUCCGAACAGCGGGUAUAUCCGCGCGCUCGAAGGCCGGUGUGCGG